GACGAACGCUGGCGGCGUGCUUAACACAUGCAAGUCGAACGGAAAGGCCCUGCUUUUGUGGGGUGCUCGAGUGGCGAACGGGUGAGUAACACGUGAGUAACCUGCCCUUGACUUUGGGAUAACUUCAGGAAACUGGGGCUAAUACCGGAUAGGAGCUCCUGCUGCAUGGUGGGGGUUGGAAAGUUUCGGCGGUUGGGGAUGGACUCGCGGCUUAUCAGCUUGUUGGUGGGGUAGUGGCUUACCAAGGCUUUGACGGGUAGCCGGCCUGAGAGGGUGACCGGCCACAUUGGGACUGAGAUACGGCCCCGACUCCUACGGGAGGCAGCAGUGGCGAAUAUUGCACAAUGGGCGGAGGCCUGAUGCAGCAACGCCGCGUGCGGGAUGACGGCCUUCGGGUUGUAAACCGCUUUCGCCUGUGACGAAGCGUGAGUGACGGUAAUGGGUAAAGAAGCACCGGCUAACUACGUG
rnacentral:rRNA from 1 species